rnacentral:tRNA from 1 species
GCCGAAGUGGCGGAACUGGCAGACGCGCGACGUUCAGGGCGUCGUGGGCCUUGCGCCCGUGGGAGUUCAAAUCUCCCCUUCGGCACCA